AUAAUAAUAAUAAUAAUAAUAAUAAUAAUAAUAAAAAUAAAAAUAAAAAUAAAAAUAAAAAUAAAAAUAACUACUACAACAAUAACCAUUUAUCACUAUAUUUAUUUACUACCCUUUCAUGCAGUACUCUUAUUAAGGCACACAAAUAUUCUAAUUUAAAGAAACAACACUUAAUUCAAAUUAGAAAUUACAGACAUCUAAAACCACCUUUACAAGUGGCUAAGAAAAGAGAAAAGGGGAGGGGGGUUACUAAUAAAAAGCAGGUGAAACAGACAAGCCCCGAAAGUCCAUUGAAUAUCAGUCGUCCUCUUGAGGGUUCGGACACCAGUCAGGAAAAAAAGGCUCUCCUCCUUAUUUCCUGCGAGAGCUAGGUGCCCUUCCUCUUCUUCCUCCUCCUCCUCGGUUCAUCUCGGAUCUGCCCCUCCCCAAGCUGGAGACGUUUAGGAGCCGGGCUUUUCAUUCCCCCAGCCGGCAAGCCAGGGGUGGGGUGGGGUGGGGUGAAAUAGGGACCUCCGGCGUGAGGCUGCCAGCAGAGGGAGCCGAGAAGUGGCAGGGCAGGUGAGUAGAGGAAUUGUCUAGCACGCUUGGACUCAGAGGGACUUUCAUGCGGAUGUUCUAGGAUGUUCUAGCCUUUACAAAUCAGAGGGCAGGUCUUCUGGGACCGCCUUUUCCUGGAAGUCGCCAUGCAGCUGUUCUAGCCUUCUGACAUCAGAGGGCAGGUCCUCCGGACCCGCCUCUUCCUGGCAUGUUGCCAUGGCGACGCCAGGUUGCUACAAGCCAGUCCGUUCGCCUUUUCUUCCCCACCCGUGUCUCCCCAUUUUUUGCCCCACCUGCCCCUGCGGCUCCCAGAGGCUGUUCCAGGUGCCCGCCACUGGGAGACCCUGGCCUGCACUGGACGCUGCGCUGGCUGGACAGGGGACGGCAGCUAGGUGUCAUUCUUUCAGUGAGAGUGUUCACGCGGAUGAAGAGCUUCAUCGUUCAUUUGCGCCACCCUGCAACCCACAGAAGAGGAGUCCCGCCUGGUGGUUGUUGUUGUUUUUAAGAGUUAUUGCAAUUGCUUUUUAAUGUUUUCUGUUUUUAUUUCUGUUUUACGAGCUGUAGCCCACUGCGACUAGUCCUGUGACACUAACGGGAGUGGGAUGCAAACUGAAUAAAUAAAUAAAUAAAAUUAAUCUGUUUCUUAAU
rnacentral:lncRNA from 1 species